UACGUAGGUGGCGAGCGUUGUCCGGAUUUACUGGGCGUAAAGAGCGCGCAGGCGGCUGGUCAAGUCCGAUGUGAAAGCUCCCGGCUUAACUGGGAAAUUGCAUCGGAAACUGAUCGGCUGGAAGGUGGGAGAGGGUAGCGGAAUUCCCGGUGUAGUGGUGAAAUGCGUAGAUAUCGGGAGGAACACCAGUGGCGAAGGCAGCCCCCUGGGUUAACACUGACGCUCAUGCACGAAAGCGUGGGGAGCAAACAGG
rnacentral:rRNA from 1 species